rnacentral:rRNA from 1 species
GACGUAGGGCGCGAGCGUUGUCCGGAUUUAUUGGGCGUAAAGAGCUCGUAGGCGGCUCGUUGCGUCCAUCGUGAAAACUCAGGGCUUAACUCUGAGCUUGCGGUGGAUACGGGCGGGCUAGAGUUCGGUAGGGGAGACUGGAAUUCCAGGUGUAGCGGUGAAAUGCGUAGAUAUCUGGAGGAAUACCGGUGGCGAAGGCGGCAUCCUGGACCGGCAUUGACGCUGAGGAGCGAAAGCCAGGGGAGCAAAGCGGG